rnacentral:rRNA from 1 species
AUGGAACAAUCAAAAAUUAUAGAUACGACGGAGACGUAUCAGAGGCAUACCUCGGUACAAACCGGAGACCCAAAAGAGCGAUUAACUAAUGUAUUCAUUCAGAAUCCUCCUUCCAAAUGGAUUUGUACGUGCCUAGCAGUUUGUAUCAUGCUAGUCAUUUGUGUUGCCACGUUGUACAUACCUAGUCAUCUUUCCAGUAAAAGAAAGCAAUAUGGGGCAACCUAUGCUAACAUAUUGGAAUUUGAAGAACAAAUUUCAAAUUCCAAGAGAACAUUUGAAUUCAAAGGGUUUUAUCAAUUUAAGAUUUUUUUUCAAAGGGUGACAAUUUUACCGUUUUCAAAAAACAUUUAA